ACCUUUUAACAGCACACCAGACUAUUUGUUUUAGACACCAUACAAAAAGUAGAUAUAGCAAACAGGGAUAGUCCAUAUCAAGCCCAUAGCAAUUAGAAUGGUUGACAUUGUGAAUAACGAAACCAAAAGAAACACUAGUAAUUAAGGUAUCAAAAUGCAGGUAACAUUGAUAUCAGUUGACAUUGUACAGGGAAGAGAAGAAACAGACCUCA
rnacentral:lncRNA from 1 species